rnacentral:rRNA from 1 species
GACGAACGCUGGCGGCGUGCUUAACACAUGCAAGUCGAACGGAAAGGCCCUGCUUGCAGGGUACUCGAGUGGCGAACGGGUGAGUAACACGUGGGUGAUCUGCCCUGCACUUCGGGAUAAGCCUGGGAAACUGGGUCUAAUACCGGAUAGGAGCCAUUUUUAGUGUGAUGGUUGGAAAGUUUUUUCGGUGUAGGAUGAGCUCGCGGCCUAUCAGCUUGUUGGUGGGGUAAUGGCCUACCAAGGCGGCGACGGGUAGCCGGCCUGAGAGGGUGGACGGCCACAUUGGGACGGGGAUACGGCCCAGACUCCUACGGGAGGCAGCAGUGGGGAAUAUUGCACAAUGGGCGCAAGCCUGAUGCAGCGACGCCGCGUGGGGGAUGACGGCCUUCGGGUUGUAAACUCCUUUCGCUAGGGACGAAGCUUUUUGUGACGGUACCUAGAUAAGAAGCACCGGCUAACUACGUG